CAAAUUUCUGCACCUGUACGUUUAUCGUGCUUCACAUUUUGGUAUCAACUCAUUGUUUCGAAUUAAAUGGAACGUCUUCUAAUACAGGUACGGAUUUCAUUUAUCAUUAUUAUUUGUAAUGCUUAAUCAUGAUUAAUUUGCGUACACUUUUUUAGUAGUACCAAAAUAUUCACUGGUGUAAGGAAAACAUAUAUUAUUUUUAAUUCUCCCUGCCGCCAGUAAAACUCUUGCUAAAGCAAGUUAUGUAUAGAUACGCAGCCACUCCUGUAGGAAUGCGGACGUUAAAUCUAUUGCACAUUCUCUAGUUUUCAGUGUAGUGAUUUGUGACCCUGUUUGUCUUUUCCUUGUCUUUUUGUGUUUGAUUUUGUUUUGGUUUUUUUUUUCGUGAUGUCGCGGUUUCUCUCGACCUAUGAGGUCGGAUGUCCCAUUUCUAUUUUUCGCCUUAAUUUUCAGUUUUUCUUGUCCUGAAAAUUAACUUGGUGUUUGCCUCUGGAUUUUACGCAAGCAACACUUUUCUUGUUUUAUCUAAGUAUAUAACUCCAUUUGGUAAUGUGGUUUACAGUGGGCAUGUAAUUGUGUUCUUUUUUAUUUUUAAAAUGGUUUGUAAGUAUUUGGAAUGUUUUGUCAAUAAUUUGUCUGCUUAUAUCUUAUGUCUAUUUGUAAUGACACAAUAUGCCACUUAUCAUGAUGUUUAAAAUAAACAAUUGUUUCUUGUAUGCUUUAAUCAAUCGGUUUUAUUGUUUAUCACUUUUAAUUCAGAUGUAUAACGAAAGACUAAAUGAUUGAUUUCUUACCCUCUAUUCCUUUACGGCGCGCUUCUUCACCAACCACUUGCUAGCGUACACGAAUGUUAGAGCAGUAGUAACCAAACAAUUCGUUUCGAUUUAUGUGUAAGCUUGUUUGGUGGUUUUUUUGGGGUUUUUUUUUGCCGUUCAGUGUUUCUGUCGUUUCCGUGUUUCCCUCUUAUAUUUGAUGUGUUUCAUUCGAUUUUAGUUUGUAACCCGAAUUUGUUUCCUCUUAAUCAAUAUAUGACUUAUAAACUGCUUUAUACUACUGUUGCUUUUAUAGGGAGAUCAAUCUAAGAGUAUUUCUAUAAGACUCAGACAGAGGAUAAAAGGCGAAAUUACGUCUUUUGUUUUGCCAUUUUUAUAGGGUAAAUACUUAUAUGCAGACUAAACUUUAUGCAUUAUUAAUUGCAAUUUCAAAUCGUUAGUAUAUUCACUUUUUCAGACUGCACUUACAAUGAUACAGAACUGAUUGAAACUAGCUACAACCAAUCUUAUUCUAUUCCGUUUAAUGAAAGUAACAUUGAAAAAUCAGAAAAUAUGUUGGAUGCUCAAGCUUAUAGUUUGGCUCUCUCGUCAAACAGAUCAACGGAAAUACAUAAUGUACUACAAAACAUCUCACAAGAUAGUCAAGGCAACAUAUCAACAAUUAUCGAGUUAUGUUGCCAUUCAUCAUGCUGUAACCAAACCGACGAUAACAGCAGAGAUUCU
rnacentral:lncRNA from 1 species